rnacentral:rRNA from 1 species
UACGUAGGGGGGCAAGCGUUGUCCGGAAUCAUUGGGCGUAAAGAGCGUGUAGGCGGCUUGGUAAGUCCGCUGUGAAAGUCCAGGGCUCAACCCUGGAAUGCCGGUGGAAACUGUCAAGCUUGAGUCCGGAAGAGGCGAGUGGAAUUCCUGGUGUAGCGGUGAAAUGCGCAGAUAUCAGGAGGAACACCAAUGGCGAAGGCAGCUCGCUGGGACGGUACUGACGCUGAGACGCGAAAGCGUGGGGAGCGAACAGG